rnacentral:lncRNA from 1 species
CAUGCUUGUUUCCCUUCUCCUUCCCCCGUGAUUCUGUGUCAAAGGGAAGCUCCCACAUGACCUCACUUCUUUCCUAUUUGUUGGAAAUAUUCUACAGUUAAAUAGUAAGAACCUCAGCAAAUCCAUAACCAUGCUAGCAAAAGAUUAUGGCCCUGGGUUCACUGUGUAUUUUGGCAUUAAGCCCACUGUGGUUGUAUGGUUUCAAAAUAAUGAAGGAAGCCCUGAUUGAUCGGAGACAAGAGUUUUCUGAUAGAAGGAGUUUCCCAGUGAUGGAAAAAAUCACCCAAGGA